rnacentral:rRNA from 1 species
AUGGUAGAGAUCAUACCGAGAAAGAGGAUAAUUCCGUACGGGUACAACUCUUAUUUGAACAAAGUGCAAAAAAUGCGAUCUUUUUUUUCUCAUAGAACAAACACUAAUACCUUAAUUGAGUCGGUAAAGAUCAAAUAUGUUUAUCAAAGUGCUUCUCUGAUUGCUCAAGACAUCUCUUUUCAACUGAGGAACAAUCCAAUCUCAUUUCGUUCAAUUUUUAGUAAAAUAGUGAAGGAUAUUCCAUUAAUAAUGCCAAAAGGGGUGGAGGGGAUACGUAUUUGUUACUCUGCUCGAUUAGGGGGUGCAGAAAUAGCUAGAACUGAAUGCGGAAAGUAUGGAAAAACAUCUUGUAAUGUAUUUAACCAAAAAAUCGAUUAUGCUCCUGCGGAAGUAUCUACUCAUAACGGAAUUUCAGGUGUCAAAGUGCGGAUCUCAUAUAGUCAAAAUAAGAAGGGACUUGUUAUAUCCGAAACGUAUGAAAUAUAG